rnacentral:rRNA from 1 species
UACGUAGGGUGCAAGCGUUAAUCGGAAUUACUGGGCGUAAAGCGUGCGCAGGCGGUGAUGUAAGACAGAGGUGAAAUCCCCGGGCUCAACCUGGGAAUGGCGAUGGAGACUGCAAGGCUAGAGUUUGGCAGAGGGGGGUAGAAUUCCACGUGUAGCAGUGAAAUGCGUAGAUAUGUGGAGGAACACCGAUGGCGAAGGCAGCCCCCUGGGUCAAAACUGACGCUCAUGCACGAAAGCGUGGGGAGCAAACAGG